rnacentral:rRNA from 1 species
AUUGAACGCUGGCGGCAGGCCUAACACAUGCAAGUCGAAUGGUAACAGGAAACAGCUUGCUGUUUCGCUGACGAGUGGCGGACGGGUGAGUAAUGUCUGGGAAACUGCCUGAUGGAGGGGGAUAACUACUGGAAACGGUAGCUACUACCGCAUAACGUCGCAAGACCAAAGAGGGGGACCUUCGGGCCUCUUGCCAUCAGAUGUGCCCAGAUGGGAUUAGCUAGUAGGUGGGGUAACGGCUCACCUAGGCGACGAUCCCUAGCUGGUCUGAGAGGAUGACCAGCCACACUGGAACUGAGACACGGUCCAGACUCCUACGGGAGGCAGCAGUGGGGAAUAUUGCACAAUGGGCGCAAGCCUGAUGCAGCCAUGCCGCGUGUAUGAAGAAGGCCUUCGGGUUGUAAAGUACUUUCAGCGGGGAGGAAGGGAGUAAAGUUAAUACCUUUGCUCAUUGACGGUACCCGCAGAAGAAGCACCGGCUAACUCCGUG